CCUACGGGCGGCAGCAGUGAGGAAUAUUGGUCAAUGGCCGUAAGGCUGAACCAGCCAAGUCGCGUGAAGGAAGAAGGAUCUAUGGUUUGUAAACUUCUUUUAUAGGGGAAUAAAGUGAUCCACGUGUGGAUAUUUGCAUGUACCCUAUGAAUAAGCAUCGGCUAACUCCGUGCCAGCAGCCGCGGUAAUACGGAGGAUGCGAGCGUUAUCCGGAUUUAUUGGGUUUAAAGGGUGCGUAGGUUUUUUUUUAAGUCAGCGGUGAAAGUUUGUGGCUCAACCCCAAAAUUGCCGUUGAAACUGGGAGCCUUGAGUGUGUUUGAGGUAGGCGGAAUGCGUGGUGUAGCGGUGACAUGCUUAGAUAUCACGCAGAACUCCGAUUGCGAAGGCAGCUUACUAAGCCAUAACUGACACUGAUGCUCGAACGCGUGGGGAUCAAACAGGAUUAGAUACCCUUGUAGUC
rnacentral:rRNA from 1 species